AUACGAAGGUCCCAAGCGUUAUUCGGAAUCACUGGGCGUAAAGAGUACGUAGGCGGUUUGGCAAGUCAGGUGUGAAAUCCCGAAGCUCAACUUCGGAACUGCAUCCGAUACUGCCAGACUAGAGUAAUGGAGAGGCAGGUGGAAUUCUCGGUGUAGCAGUGAAAUGCGUGGAUAUCGAGAGGAAGACCAAUGGCGAAGGCAGCCUGCUGGACAUUUACUGACGCUGAGGUACGAAGGCUAGGGGAGCGAAAGGGAUUAGAAACCCCGGUAGUCC
rnacentral:rRNA from 1 species